CCGGGGCAUCCCGGAGGCAGGAAAGGCUUCGGCCGGACAGGGAUGGGCAUGCGGCGCAUUAGGCAGUAGGCGGGGUAACGGCCCACCUAACCGACGAUGCGUAGGGGUUCUGAGAGGAAGGUCCCCCACACUGGUACUGAGACACGGACCAGACUCCUACGGGAGGCAGCAGUGAGGAAUAUUGGUCAAUGGUCGGGAGACUGAACCAGCCAAGCCGCGUGAGGGAGGAAGGUACAGAGUAUCGUAAACCUCUUUUGUCAGGGAACAAAGACUGGGACGCGUCCCCGGAUGAGUGUACCUGAAGAAAAAGCAUCGGCUAACUCCGUGCCAGCAGCCGCGGUAAUACGGAGGAUGCGAGCGUUAUCCGGAUUUAUUGGGUUUAAAGGGUGCGCAGGCGGUCUGUUAAGUCAGCGGUCAAAGCCCGGGGCUCAACCCCGGCCCGCCGUUGAAACUGGCAGUCUCGAGUUGGAGAGAAGUAUGCGGAAUGCGCGGUGUAGCGGUGAAAUGCAUAGAUAUCGCGCAGAACUCCGAUUGCGAAGGCAGCAUGCCGGCUCCACACUGACGCUGAGGCACGAAAGCGUGGGUAUCGAACAGGAUUAGAUACCCUGGUGGUCCACGCAGUAAACGAUGAAUGAUGGCUGUCCGGG
rnacentral:rRNA from 1 species